CUGGCCCUGAAUCAAGGUCGGCAGCUUCCUAAUCCUGCUGGUUUCAAGCAGGAGAUGAAAGAUUUGUCUUUCUAUGGUCUGUUGGCCAUUUCAGAACUUGGGCAGUGAAAUGGUCAAUUCAUUAGAAAGAAACAGCU
ensembl:snoRNA small nucleolar RNA SNORA2/SNORA34 family